UACGUAGGGUGCAAGCGUUAAUCGGAAUUACUGGGCGUAAAGCGUGCGCAGGCGGUCCGCUAAGCCAGAUGUGAAAUCCCCGGGCUUAACCUGGGAACUGCAUUUGUGACUGGCGGGCUAGAGUAUGGCAGAGGGGGGUAGAAUUCCACGUGUAGCAGUGAAAUGCGUAGAGAUGUGGAGGAAUACCGAUGGCGAAGGCAGCCCCCUGGGCCAAUACUGACGCUCAUGCACGAAAGCGUGGGGAGCAAACAGG
rnacentral:rRNA from 1 species